GUUAACCCGCAUUCAAAUGGCUUUCUCAGCAAAAGGGCUUUAUUCCACUUGAUGAAUCAAACUGGAUGGCAUUUUUAUCUUUGAAAUUGAUUUCAAUAUUCUACUGUCAGGAAGAAAAAUCAAGAUGCAGUAUGCUGUUCAUGGACACAUCCUUGAGAUGGUGGGGAGUUGUCCGGUAAAUUAUUACACUACUAAAAGUCAGGAGGAUCUAGGCAAGAAUGCACAUGGUAGUCAAAAGGAACGUGGUGAUUUCCAGGUCAUCCAGAGGAACAGAGAUUACGUCCUUACUGCAGCCCUGGCUCUCUGCACAAGUUACUCACUAACCACAGUCUGAGAUAAGAAAACAAUGAAACAUUGAACAAAUCCUUUGGAACUAGUAAGAACAGUGGAAAACUGGAUCAAAUCUCGGCAAUACCAGCAUAAAUGUCAACACUCCUUUUGUUUCAUUAAACGUUUGUUCUUAUCAUUGUCAUUAAAACAUGAUGUAUUACUAAAUGAUCUGUAGAAAUAACUAUUGUAUGAGCACAUGACAAUCAAAUAUCAAGAAACGGUGAUCAUCCUUAGGCGAAUACUCUUCAGUUAUAGCAGUUCUUAGAGGCUGAAAAGAAGGUUAUAUCAAGUCAUCAGAAGAAGCAUUUUUUCACUCAAUAGCUUAUCCUUUUUUUCACAUUGUGUUGGUUGAUCUAGUAGAAGAUACCAUCUCUCCCCACAAACCCUGUGCACGUAUCUUUAGACUGUCACAGCUACAGUAGCACCACUGCUCUGUCAUGUAAUACAUUAAUGAUUUCACGCCUGUAAUACCCCAGAA